rnacentral:tRNA from 3 species
CGGGGUGUAGCGCAGCUUGGUAGCGCGCGUCGUUCGGGACGACGAGGCCGCAGGUUCAAAUCCUGUCACCCCGACCA